rnacentral:rRNA from 1 species
ACGGGGCGCAGCAGGCGCGAACACUGUGCAAUGCGCGAAAGCGCGACACGGGGAGCUUGAGUGUCUUGGCAUAGCCAAGACUUUUCUCAUUCCUAAAAAGCAUGAGGAAUAAGUGCUGGGUAAGACGGGUGCCAGCCGCCGCGGUAACACCCGCAGCACAAGUGGUGGUCACUUUUAUUGAGCCUAAAGCGUUCGUAGCCGGUUUUGUAAAUCUUUAGAUAAAGCCUGAAGCUUAACUCCAGAAAGUCUGAAGAGACUGCAAGACUUGAGAUCGGGUGAGGUUAAACGUACUUUCAGGGUAGGGGUAAAAUCCUGUAAUCCCGGAAGGACGACCAGUGGCGAAAGCGUUUAACUAGAACGAAUCUGACGGUAAGGAACGAAGGCUAGGGUAGCAAACCGGAUUAGAUACCCGGGUAGUCCUAGCUGUAAACAUUGCCCAUUUGAUGUUGCUUUUCCGUUGAGGGAAGGCAGUGUCGGAGCGAAGGUGUUAAAUGGGCCGCUUGGGAAGUAUGGUCGCAAGACUGAAACUUAAAGGAAUUGGCGGGGGAGCACCGCAACGGGAGGAAUGUGCGGUUUAAUUGGAUUCAACGCCGGAAAACUCACCGGGAACGACCUGUGCAUGAGAGUCAACCUGACGAGUUUACUCGAUAGCAGGAGAGGUGGUGCAUGGCCGUCGUCAGCUCGUACCGUAGGGCGUUCACUUAAGUGUGAUAACGAGCGAGACCCACAUCUUUAAUUGCAAAUGUAUAUGAGAAUAUGCAUGCACUUUAGAGAAACCGCCAGCGCUAAGUUGGAGGAAGGAGUGGUCGACGGCAGGUCAGUACGCCCCGAAUUUCCCGGGCUACACGCGCAUUACAAAGAACGGGACAAUACGUUGCAACCUCGAAAGGGGAAGCUAAUCGCGAAACCCGUCCAUAGUUAGGAUUGAGGGCUGUAACUCGCCCUCAUGAAUCUGGAUUCCGUAGUAAUCGCGGGUCAACAACCCGCGGUGAACAUGCCCCUGCCCCUUGCACACACCGCCCGUCAAACCAUCCGAGUUGGUGUUGGAUGAGGUUUAAUUCGAGAGGGUUAAAUCAAAUCUGAUGUCGGUGAGGAGGGUUAAGUCGUAACAAGGUAGCCGU